rnacentral:tRNA from 1 species
UAGCACAUAGCUGCCCUUAAGAUAGUAGCUCGCCGUCAUGGGGUGUCGGGGGUCGGAGGUUCAAAUCCUCUCGUGCCGACCA